rnacentral:rRNA from 1 species
CCUACGGGAGGCAGCAGUGAGGAAUAUUGGUCAAUGGACGAGAGUCUGAACCAGCCAAGUAGCGUGAAGGAUGACUGCCCUAUGGGUUGUAAACUUCUUUUAUCUGGGAAUAAAAUGUUCCACGUGUGGGAUUUUGUAUGUACCAUAUGAAUAAGGAUCGGCUAACUCCCUGCCAGCAGCCGCGGUAAUACGGAGGAACCGAGCGUUAUCCGGAUUUAUUGGGUUUAAAGGGAGCGUAAGUGGAUUGGUAAGUCAGUUGUGAAAGUUUGCGGCUCAACCGUAAAAUUGCAGUUGAAACUGGCAGUCUUGAGUACAGUAGAGGUGGGCGGAAUUCGUGGUGUAGCGGUGAAAUGCUUAGAUAUCACGAAGAACUCCGAUUGCGAAGGCAGUUCACUGGACUGCAACUGACACUGAGGCUCGAAAGUGUGGGUAUCAAACAGGAUUAGAUACCCGUGUAGUC